UAUUAAUUCAAAACAUAAGCAUUUGCAUAAUACGCAGCGGAUAGAAAUCUCAUCAAUCAUUGUAAAACAUGUAACACAUUACAUGUAAAAUGGUUCAACAACCAACAAUAAGACAAUUAAAAACAUCCCAUCCCGAUGUUACAUCUAUCAGAGCAUGACCCACUAAGGAACUACACUAGACUCCAAGCACUAGCUCCUACUCAAU
rnacentral:lncRNA from 1 species